rnacentral:rRNA from 1 species
GAUGAACGCUAGCGGCAGGCCUAACACAUGCAAGUCGAGGGGCAGCGAGAUGUAGCAAUACAUUGUCGGCGACCGGCGUAAGGGUGCGUAACACGUGAGUAACUUGCCCGUAACAGGGGGAUAAGCGAUGGAAACGUCGUCUAAUACCCCAUAAUAAUUGUUAUCGCAUGAUGAUGAUUUGAAAAUUCCGAUGGUUACGGAUAGACUCGCGUUACAUUAGCUAGUUGGUGAGGUAACGGCUCACCAAGGCGACGAUGUAUAGGGGUUCUGAGAGGAAGAUCCCCCACACUGGAACUGAGACACGGUCCAGACUCCUACGGGAGGCAGCAGUGAGGAAUAUUGGACAAUGGAGGGAACUCUGAUCCAGCCAUGCCGCGUGAAGGACUAAGGCCCUAUGGGUCGUAAACUUCUUUUGACGCAGAGCAAUAAGAGAUACGAGUAUUUUGAUGAGAGUAUGCGUCGAAUAAGCAUCGGCUAACUCCGUGCCAGCAGCCGCGGUAAUACGGAGGAUGCGAGCGUUAUCCGGAUUUAUUGGGUUUAAAGGGUGCGUAGGCGGUUGUGCAAGUCAGUGGUGAAAUACGAACGCUCAACGUUCGGGCUGCCAUUGAAACUGUACGGCUAGAGUUCGGAUGCCGUGGGAGGAAUGAGUAGUGUAGCGGUGAAAUGCAUAGAUAUUACUCAGAACACCGAUUGCGAAGGCAUCUCACGAAUGCGAAACUGACGCUGAUGCACGAAAGCGUGGGGAUCAAACAGGAUUAGAUACCCUGGUAGUCCACGCUGUAAACGAUGAUAACUAACUGCCGGCGAUAAACGGUCGGUGGCCAAGCGAAAGCGAUAAGUUAUCCACCUGGGGAGUACGACCGCAAGGUUGAAACUCAAAGGAAUUGACGGGGGCCCGCACAAGCGGAGGAACAUGUGGUUUAAUUCGAUGAUACGCGAGGAACCUUACCCAGGCUCGAACGGCAUAUGAAUAUUGCAGAGAUGUGAUAGUCUUCGGACAUAUGUCGAGGUGCUGCAUGGUUGUCGUCAGCUCGUGCCGUGAGGUGUCGGCUUAAGUGCCAUAACGAGCGCAACCCUUGUCGUUAGUUGCCAUCAAGUAAAGUUGGGGACUCUAACGAGACUGCCACCGCAAGGUGUGAGGAAGGGGGGGAUGACGUCAAAUCAGCACGGCCCUUACGUCUGGGGCGACACACGUGUUACAAUGGUAGGUACAGAGGGCAGCUAUUGAGUGAUCAAGUGCAAAUCUCAAAAACCUAUCUCAGUUCGGACUGGAGUCUGCAACCCGACUCCACGAAGCUGGAUUCGCUAGUAAUCGCGCAUCAGCCAUGGCGCGGUGAAUACGUUCCCGGGCCU